rnacentral:lncRNA from 1 species
UAGAUUUCUAACUAUCUUUCCUGUAUUCUGUCAUUAUCUCUCAUUUAUUACCUUCUCUCCUUCUCUUCCUUUUUCCUUUCAAUGUUAGUACUUCCAGAGUUAUAUCUCCUAAAGAACAAUUCCCGUCUCAUUAACCCCCUUCCGAGGGUCCAUAUUAUCUUUAGAAGUGGCCUCCAAAUUUUAGAUCUCAUGGACCACUGAAAUAAAAAUAAAUCAGGGAGUCCAAAACAGUGUUGUCAAUUUUUAUUUUGUCAAGUAAGAACAUUAGAACCUCUCACCAAACUGCCUUCUACUUUUACCAUCACUUGAUAAAAGCAAUUGCCUUUGAUUCCAAAUACAGGAAAGGCAUAAACCCAGAAUAAAGGAGAGACCUUUAAAUUCAACGUAUUUUGUUUCAUAAAAAAACUUACUAAUUGUCUUUAUGUUUCUUAUUUCUCUCCAGUGUAGUGAAAACUUGGACUUAAACCAUCACUGGCCCAUGGCAAGCUUUUGGGGACCAAUGGCCUGCAGAAUAAGGAUAUUCAAAAACUUACUGAAAGUAACUUCUCAAGAGUGGCACUGAAGUCAUUCAGUGAGUCUGUAAACAGUGAAGCAUGUGGAGAACACCUCGUUUGCCAUCAAAGCCAUUGGGACAGUCAAGAUCUUUGGGUCCUAAUGAGGAAUGUAAACCAGUCUGAUGGGGACCCACUCCUGAGAGCAGCCAGGCUGUACCUCCAUCUCUGGAACCGUGCCAGGAGGCUGUGUGCCUAAUCUGCUCAGAAAUCAUUCCUUUCUGUCUAUCACUGAAGCUUGAACACACUCCAGGAAUUAGGUACUAAUUAAUGUCAACACAUUACAAAUGAAAAAAGAAGGAAAUUGCUUGGACUCAUUCCUGAGGAAAUCUUCAGUAAUUCGCUUCAGUCAAAGUUAAUAUGUACCUCAGGGCA